AGAGAUGUGUGAUGACGCAUAUCAAUAAGCGGAGGAAAAGAAACUAACAAGGAUUCCCUAGUAACGGCGAGUGAAGCGGGAAGAGCUCAAAUUUGAAAUCUUCAAGGUUUUACCUUGACGAAUUGUAGUUUAAAGAAGUGUUUUCUGUUGGAGUUUCGGUAAAAGUUCUUUGGAAUAGGACAUCAUAGAGGGUGAGAAUCCCGUAUUUGACCGUUACUUUCCAGCUGUGUGAUACACUUUCAAAGAGUCGGAUUGUUUGGGAAUGCAGUCCAAAAUGGGUGGUAAAUUUCAUCUAAAGCUAAAUAUUGGCGAGAGACCGAUAGCGAACAAGUACCGUGAGGGAAAGAUGAAAAGAACUUUGAAAAGAGAGUUAAACAGUACGUGAAAUUGUCAAAAGGGAAGCGUUUGACACCAGUGUUGUUUUUCCGAAAAUCAAUUACGAAUGUUUUAUUUUUGAGGAGUUAUGACUUCAUCGGCUUGCUCCUUUCUUUAUGAAACUUUCUUGAUGCACUUUUCGGUUAACAAGUCAACAUCAAUUUCUUUUGUUGUAAAAGGGUAUGAGGAAGGUGGCUUUCUUUUCGGAGAAAGUGUUUAUAGCCUUGUAGCCUCUGCAAUCGGAGAGAUUGAGGUCUGCAGCGUAGAUCCUUCGGGGUUAGAUACGUUUGUGCUAAGUUAUAGCUUUUCAUAGACAACUUGUUGACUAUGUUUAGUCUUGUAGCUUACUCGCUGAUGCUAUUUUACCUACGCUUAGGAUGUUGAGUCGUAGAGCACGCAG
rnacentral:rRNA from 1 species